AAGUCGUAACAAGGUUUCCGUAGGUGAACCUGCGGAAGGAUCAUUAAUAAAUGAUAAUUUUUUGGGGUUUUUCCCUGAAAAAUAAUUCACCUUUUGUGCAUUGUUAUUAGAUAUACUUUGGUUAGAGCUUUGAUUUCAUUUAAUGGAAUCAACUUCUUGCUGACUCUAUCCUUUCUGAGGACAGUUGGCUAUGAAGCGGCCUACCAAGGUUUUUUUUAUCAAACGCUUGUAUUUUGUCUGACCUAAAUCAUUAUAAUUAAAUCAUAACUUUCAACAACGGAUCUCUUGGCUCUC
rnacentral:misc_RNA from 1 species